rnacentral:rRNA from 1 species
UAAUUUGACCGUGCAAAGGUAGCAUAAUCAAUAGUCUUUUAAUUGGGGGCUUGAAUGAAGGGUUUGACGGAGGAGAGACUGUCUUUUUUAUUAAAAUUGAAUUUAACUUUUGUGUGAAAAGGCAUUAAUGGUUUAGGGGGACGAUAAGACCCUAUAAAAUUUUACAUAUUGUAUUAUUUAAUAUAAUGGUUAAUUAAUUAUUAGGUGAUUGGCUGUGUUUUGCUGGGGCGGCAGAGAUAUAAUUCUAACUGUUUUAAGUGUGAAAUAUUUAUUAAUAGAGAGUGGUCCUUUAUUUAAGAGUUAAGAGUAAGUUACUUUAGGGAUAACAGCAUAAUUUCUUUUGAGAGUUCUUAUCGAAGAUGAUAGUUGUGACCUCGAUGUUGAAUUAAAUUUUCUUUUAAAUG